rnacentral:rRNA from 1 species
AUUGAACGCUGGCGGCAGGCCUAACACAUGCAAGUCGAACGGUAAUAGGAAGAAGCUUGCUUCUUUGCUGACGAGUGGCGGACGGGUGAGUAAUGUCUGGGAAACUGCCUGAUGGAGGGGGAUAACUACUGGAAACGGUAGCUAAUACCGCAUAACGUCGCAAGACCAAAGAGGGGGACCUUCGGGCCUCUUGCCAUCGGAUGUGCCCAGAUGGGAUUAGCUUGUUGGUGGGGUAACGGCUCACCAAGGCGACGAUCCCUAGCUGGUCUGAGAGGAUGACCAGCCACACUGGAACUGAGACACGGUCCAGACUCCUACGGGAGGCAGCAGUGGGGAAUAUUGCACAAUGGGCGCAAGCCUGAUGCAGCCAUGCCGCGUGUAUGAAGAAGGCCUUCGGGUUGUAAAGUACUUUCAGCGGGGAGGAAGGGAGUAAAGUUAAUACCUUUGCUCAUUGACGUUACCCGCAGAAGAAGCACCGGCUAACUCCGUG